UCGCCCUUUUUGAUUAGUCCAUGUUAUGACCAAUUUCCAAAAUUAUUGACACUGUAUUUCAUGGAAACCAUGUUAAAGCACUACAAAUCACCUCAUUGCAACUUUUUUUAUGUGAUCAAUUUUAUCUCGUGAAAACUCACAUAUAUUGAUGGAUCGCAUGGAGUAUGAUACCACUCCAACUAAUAGUCCAAAUCAGUUACCUAAUAUGUUCUUAUGAUAAACUGCAAGUACUUCUCAAAUGAAUCAUGCCCCUAAGUUUAAGGACUAUUUGUGAAAUGUGCAUAUUGAAUUUUGAUGCAUCAUGCUAAGAAUAUGGUUCAUGAGGUGUAGACACAGUUGUUGACCACUCAAUGAGAGGCACAUAUAUGAAUGAGCAUGAGCACUAAUGUUAUGGUCCUUGGCAUAGGAUUGCAUUAUGGUUCUAGAAGAGGAAGGGUUAGGCUGUGGUUGAGGUAAGGGUGAGUGUUUAUUGGGAUUUUUUUUUUUCUACCUAUGGUUACUGCUUGAGCUCAAUUAAAGAGAGAACUCAAAAAUCUCUGAGUAAGAAAGUACUCAACUUGUGUGAAAUUUUGCUCCCUUUAUUGAAUAAUAACAACUGCAUAUAUAUACAUAAGUGGAGGAUAACAACCUCCUAAAACUUAGGGAAAUGGAAAGAGUGGAGGUACACCCUCCUACAACUAAGGAAUUGAAAAUGCAUAACAGAAUUGGAAAUAACAGAAAUAGGAUUUAGUGGCUGACUUGGUCUUUCCUAAUUAUCAGUGCAUGACCCUGACUUAGUGGAAGUGUCUAGGAGUGAGGUUCAAGAAAUUCCUUUUCCAUGAGUGAACCUUUUGUAAACCGUAACAUUUCUCUCCGCCUCCUCAACGCGCUUGUCCUCAAGCACAAAAUUUGGAUGUUGUUGUGUGAAGGCUGACAAAGGUUCCCAAGAUGCAUCUGUGGGUGAAGUGUGCUCCCAGUGGACAAGUAAUUCAGUUUCACCCUUUCGAGAUCAGUGGUCCAGAAUGGCUAGUGGCUUAGGAUUAGGAACUUCUGGGACAGUGGAUGGAAGUUGUGAGGAGAUGUUGGCAGCUUGGUCUGCAUGGUAAGCCUUGAGGCUGACCACGUGAAAAAUUGGGUGUAUCUUGGACUCAGCGAGAAGGUCUAGCCUGUAGGCUAUGGGACCUAUUCUUUCCAAGAUUUUAAAAAGGCCAUAAAAACGGGCUGACAGUUUUUGAGAAGCCCUUUUUGCCACAGAUGUUUGGCGGUAGGGCUGAAGUUUGACUAAAACCAAUUCUCCCACUUGGAAUUCAACAAAUCUGUGCGUAGAAUCAUAAUUGGCCUUCAUCUUUUUGCUGUGCCUUCAAUAAGUUAUUACGAAGGGAGGCUAUGACUUCGUCUCUUGAUAGCAAUAAUUGAUCCACAGCUUCAAUUUUAGAUGAUCCCAGAUAGUAGGAAAGUAGGCGAGGGGGCUGUCUACCAUAAACCACUUUGAAGGAAGUGGCUUUAAGAGAGGAAUGGUAGCUAGUAUUGUAGCAAUAUUCACCCCAAGAGAGCCAAUCCAACCAACGCCUUGGUUUCUCACUGGUGAAGCAACGAAGAUACAUUUCAAUGGUCCUGUUAACCACUUCGGUUUGUCCGUCGGACUGUGGGUGGUAGGAGGAGCUAAAACAGAGCUUGAUCCACAUAGGCGGAAGAGUUCAGACCAGAAGGCACCUGUGAACGUUGAAUCUCAAUCACUGACUAUGGAUAUUGGUAAAUCGUGGAGUUUGAACAUGGAGUCAAAGAAGGUUCUUGCCACCACUGAGGCUAUAUAGGGGUGAGAUAGAGGAAGGAGGUAACGGUAUUUGGAAAAUCUGUCCACGACCACAAACAAGACAUUUUUUCCAUGUGAAUUCGGCAGCCCUUCCACAAAGUCAAUUGAGAUGUCAGCCCAUAUGUGGUGUGGUAUUGGUAAAGGAAGAAGUAGGCCGGCUGGUUGGAGAUGCUCAGUUUUAUGGCAUUGACAGGUAAGGCAGGAUCGAACAAAAUUUUAUAGUUUUGUUUUGAGUCCCUCCAGUGAAAAUCUUGGGUGAUUCUGUGGAGUGUUUUUUGAUGACCUUCAUGGGUUUGGUUAUGUAUGGUGGCGAUGAUGGUUUGUUUGAGUGGGGAGGAGGUGGGAAGAUAGAUUUUGCCUUUAAAGAGUAACAUGCCAUUGUACAUGGUCCACGGGCUAGGAUAUUCUGCCUUUAAAGAGUGGCAUCCUCAGAGUUGCGGCGAGACAAGGCAUCGGCAAUGACAUUGUGGCGGCCUGGUCUGUACUCUACUGAGAAUGAGAACCCCAGUAUCUUGCCCAACCAAUGCUGCUGUGGUGGGGUGAUCAAUUUUUGUUCGAGUAAAAAUUUGAGACUGUAGUGAUCAGUCUGUACUAGAAAUUUCUGACCCCAGAGAUAGGAAUGCCAGUGCCGAAUUGCUUUGACAAGGCCAAUCAAUUCUUUCUCAUAAGUGGGAAGGCUCUUAUGAUGAGCAGCCAAUGCCCAGCUAAAGUAUGCCAUUGGUUUAUUAUUUUGUUGUAAGACAGCCCCGAUUCCUAUAUCAGAAGCAUCACAUUCAACCACAAAAGUUUGUGAGAAAUUAGGCAAUGUUAAAAUAGGGGUAUUAUGCAUGGCCUUUUUUAAUUGCUCACAAGCAGCAGUAGCCUCCUCUAUCCAUUUGAAAUUGCUGCGGCAUAACAUCGCCGUCAAAGGUGCUGCGAUUACCCCAUAAUCUUGAACGAAUUUGCGGUAAUAGCCGAUGAGGCCUAAGAAACCCCGAAGGCCAGUAAUGGUGGUCAGCUUGGGCCAAUUCAUCAUUGCUAUAAUUUUGCUGUCAUCUGCUGCCACCCCAGCUGAAGAAAUAACUUGGCCAAGAUAGGCAACCUGUGUCUGAGCAAAGGAGCAUUUUGACUUCUUCACAAAUAGCUGAUGAAUGGAUAACAGAUUGAACACAACCCGUAGAUGAGUUUGGUGCUCAAUCCAAGUUUGGCUAUAAACCAAGAUGUCAUCAAAAAAUACUAAAACAAACUUGCGAAGGUGAGGCCGAAAUACCUCAUUUAUUAAGGACUGGAAAGUGGAGGGGGCGUUGGUGAGCCCAAAAGGCAUUACCAGAAAUUCGAAAUGCCCAUGGUGGGUUCGGAAAUGUCAUUGGCAUACAUUCGGAUUUGGUUGUAGCCAGAACGAAGAUCAAGCUUUGUGAAAUAGGGAGCCCCAAAUAAUUCCUCCAAGAGCUCAUCUAUGACCGGAAUUGGGAAUUUGUCCUUGAUCGUCUUGGCAUUCAGCACUCUGUAAUCCACGCAUAAACACCAAGUCUUAUCCAUCUUGGGCACUAAUAAGACUGGUGAGGAGUAAGGAGAUUGGCUGGGUCGGAUGAUUCCUUGUUCUAGCAUGAGGGCACAUUGUUUUUCAAUUUCAUCUUUUUGGAUGUGUGGGUAUUGGUAGGGCCUUACCACAACAGGCCCACUAUUUGGCUCCAGAUUAAUUAUGUGAUCACAGGCCCUGCAAGGGGGAAGACCAUUGGGUUCCUAAAAUACAUGAGGAAACUUUGUUAGUAAUUAUUGUAAUUCAGUCUCAGGGUCCAGUAGUGCUACAGCUGUAUUGAAAACAGAUUGUUGAGGUGACAUAGGAGUUUCAAGUCCCUGUAACUGCACUGACUUUCCAUCCUUGCAAAAAUUCAUAUGCAUGUCUGUGAAAUCCCACAGGAUCGGGCCCAAGGUUCUUAGCCAAGUAACUCCUAAUACCACAUCAAACCCACACAAGGUUAAGAUAAAUAAAUCAGUGGUAAAAGAAUAAGAGUCUAAUUCCAACUUAGCUCCCUUGUAUUUGCCUGGACUUAGGAUUUUCUCGCCAUUAGCUACUACCACUUUCAAAUUCUCUUGUUUCUUAACCGUGCUCAGCCUUAUCUACAAUAGCAGAGUCCACAAAACUAUGGGUUGAACCAGAAUCAAUUAAAAUCAGAACAGGCUUACCAUUCCAAAUUCCCUUGAUUCGCAUGGUAUAAAGAGUGGUGAUGCCCAUAAUUGCAUGUAAGGAAAUUUCUGGUGGUUGCUUCUUAAGAUCGGGUUCAGACUCCAAUGGCUCUUCCUCGGUAAUGGCUUCAAGGAAGAAGAGCUUCUUGCACUGAUGGCGAUGAACAAAAGGUUCGUCGCAAUUGAAACAGAGGCCCUUGAGCCUCCUGUCUUCCAUCUCGGCUUGGCUCAAUCUCUUAAUAAUUUUGGUUCUGGCGGCGGUUUUGGAUGGAGGACGACGGAAAUCAUCCAAUGCAGGUGGAGGCCUGCCCGGAUGUUGCUGUUCAAAUAAGCGAGACAUACUCAUGGCAGCAGCAAGAGUCAGAGGACGAUUCACUUGGACCUGGACCGCAAUUGCAUUGUUCAGCCCACUGAUGUAUAGCUGCACCUUUUGUGAUUGGGUGAGAGUACCCGCAAGUGAGAGAAGCUCCUCAAACCGGUCUUGGUAAUCAGCCACCAUUCCGGCCUGCUUCAGUCUGGCCAAUUCUCUGAGUUGUUGAUCUCGCAGAGGUGGGCUGAACUGCACAUCACACUGAUUUGAAGAAUUCCUAAGUCAUCUCAGGAUGCUCCUCUGUCAAUUGCAUGUACCAAAUCUAAGCCUUGCCAUCCAAAUGAAAUGAAGCUAUGCCAACUUUUUCCUCAUUUGUUUUUUGAUGGUGGAAAAAUUGGUCACAAUGGUUCAGCCAUCCAAGAGGGUCAUCUGUCCAAUCAAAAUGAGAAAAAUCAAAUUUGGUGAAUUUUGGCACUAUGCCGCUACUAUCAACUAGUUCCUUUCCAGAUCCUCCCGAGUGCGAAUUCCUCUUUUUGGCUUUGCUGGUGCUUCCUACGACAGCAGAAGGGAGCUCCAGUUUGGUGGCUGCAAGAUCACAUGAUAAUUCCCCAAGUCGAGCCUGAGUUUCUUGCUGCCUUGCUUGGUUCGCUGCUCGUUCUUCUUGGAAGAGGGUCAGAAGUCAAUCUAGUUGUUGCUGAAUCUGGUGGUUUUGGUCUCCCAUAAUGCCAGGCUCUGAUACCAAAAUGUUAUGGUCCUUAGCGUAGGAUCACAUUGUGGUUCUAGAAGAGGAAGGGUUAGAUUGUGGUUGAGGUAAGGGUGAGUGUUUAUUGGGAUUUUUUCUUUUUUUACCUAUGGUUACUGCUUGAGCUCAAUUAAAGAGAGAACUCAAAAAUCUCUGAAUAAAAAAGUACUCGACUUGUGUGAAAUUCUGCUCCCUUUAUUGAAUAAUAACAAUUGCAUAUAUAUACAUAAGUGGAGGAUAACAACCUCCUAAAACUUAGGGAAAUGGAAAGAGUGGAGGUACACCCUCCUACAACUAAGGAAUUGAAAAUGCAUAACAGAAUUGGAAAUAACAGAAAUAGGAUUUAGUGGCUGACUUGGUCUUUCCUAAGUAUCAGUGCAUGACCCUGACUUAGUGGAAGUGUCUAGGAGUGGGGUUCGAGAAAUUCCUCUUCCAUGAGUGAACCUUUUGUAAACCGUAACAACUAACUACCAAAUGAUUUGAGGAUAGCUAAUUCAGUACCAAGGUUGUCAAAAUGUCUAGAUGAUCCUAGGCUAUGGUUCUCUUGGCAUGGUAUAAUGUACAAGCAGCCAAGCAAACGCUUGGAGUUAAAAAAUCUUGAAAUUUAUGAAGUUUUAAUAUCAAAGCAUUUAUAAUCAGAAUGUCACAAAUAUAAUAAUCCGAAUCCAGAUUUUUCAUUCUCUUGUUCGCUGCCCUAAAUCCUCUUGCCACUUCUGGAGCAAAGGGUCUAGAAUUAAGAGAAGGUCAUUUGAGGGAUAAUGUCCCUAGAUAAUAGAAGACUCAAGAUGGAUGUCUGUGAUCUUGAAGUAGGUUUAAAGUGAUUUUUGUAGAAAGAUGGCAUAUACCUGACAUACAACUUAUAUAGAAAGAUGGCUGAAUGUUAAAGUGUUCAAUAAAAUUAGAUAUAGUGGAAGCAAAGUUAUCGAUAUGUGGCCAAGUGCCAACAUAGGCCUCCAGGUGGUUGCCUUGCCUAUCAGCUUGGGGAGCUUUUUUAAUAUGCCUAUAGUCUACUAUUGGAGUUGUACAAAUGUGAUGCACAAUUCAACUAUAGCCCCAUUAACUUUAAUAAUAGGAAUAGACUGCUUGUCCCCAUGAUAAGCUUGAGGCUAAUCACUAUUUAUUUCGAACCUUGCAACCUGUUCAACUUUUGGGUUAAUUUUUGACAAGCAUGUCCAAAUCCUAUGACUGCAAUUAAGUUAGCCAUUAAACAAAAAAAAAAGUGGCAUUCUGGGACC
rnacentral:lncRNA from 1 species